rnacentral:rRNA from 1 species
AUUGAACGCUGGCGGCAGGCCUAACACAUGCAAGUCGAGCGGAGCGGCGGACGGGUGAGUAAUGUAUGGGAAACUGCCUGAUGGAGGGGGAUAACUACUGGAAACGGGAGCUAAUACCGCAUACUAUCAGAUGAGCCUAGAUGGGAUUAGCUAGUAGGUGGGGUAAGGGCUUACCAAGGCGACGAUCCGUAGCUGGUCUGAGAGGAUGAUCAGCCACACUGGAACGGAGACACGGCCCAGACUCCUACGGGAGGCAGCAGUGGGGAAUAUUGGACAAUGGGCGCAAGCCUGAUCCAGCCAUGCCGCGUGUGUGAAGAAGGUCUUCGGAUUGUAAAGCACUUUCAGUCGGGAGGCGUUACCAACAGAAUAAGCACCGGCUAACUCCGUGCCAGCAGCCGCGGUAAUAC